CGAUCGAGUCAGCUGUAAGUGUGAGUAAGUUAGUCGUCGUAUAGGUUAUAUUGAGUUUGUAUUCGAAUAUUGUUGUUAUGGUGUUCUUGUUGACUAUAAUUUGGGGUUUUAUUUAAAUCUACUAAAUCAACUUGAACACAAUUUGGUCUUUUUGGGUAUAUGUCACAGAGGACUGGUACUAUGAGUUUGGACGGUGUCCAACGAUAGGUUAGUUUAUAGUAGUGUAGUAUUCAUAGGUUCUUGAUAUAUUUUAGAUAUUUGUUUUCUUCACGGCUGUGUUGGAUCCCACAGCGUGUGAUUUUUCUCUGUGGAUAUUUGUAUGGAGUAUCUAUAUGGGUAUAUAUAUGUGUGUAUAUAUAUGUAUAUAUAUGUAUGUGUGUGUGUAUAUAUAUAUAUAUGUGUAUAUAAUAAAAAAAAAAUUGUUCAUAAGAUCAAUUUUUUUUUCUUACAAGUAAUGGGGGAAUGUAACGAUGAGUGAUACUCAUCGUCACUUUAUAAUAUGCAUUUCAAAAUAUUUAUUAGGAAAAGCAACUCCCAAUAAGUAUACAACCAAAUAUACUUCAGCGUGUAGUAGGUAUUGCCUAGAUUUUUACUAUUUGGAUGAUGUUUGUAACUUUUGGGGAAAUUCAAGUUUUAUAAGUUGGUUCGCCUGGCGAUGCCGGCAUCCGGCUGGCGUGUUGGUCAUUUCGGCAACCGCAGCGGUCCGGCACUUAGUUUUCGGCUUUUGAUAAGGUAACAGUUCAAUCUCCGCCGGUGGCCAUUGCAUAAGAAAUAGAAAUUUGGUUGACAUAUUAAUUUAUAAGAAGAGUAAUUUACGUUGGAGGAAGUUUUGUUUUGGUUUUGUAGUGUGGAGUGUUUCAAGAGAAGAGUUUUUAUUUUUCAACUCCGUUUUUGGAAAGCAAUGGCCACUGGUGGAGAAGGAGAAGUAGAAGAUUAAGUCAAGUCACAGCUUUUGUUUUUUUGGAAAUGGAAUAAAAUAAUUUUGGGAAAUUUUGGGCGAUUUUGUUACUUUUAUGGAAUAUAUGUUGAUUUGCCAGUCAUAGAAGCGUACCUCCUUGUGGAUGACAGUACCCCCCAGGUUUGGGGAAGAUUGGAGGAUAACUUGGAUCUCCAACCAUUCAUCUAGCAGGAUUUUGGAGAAGAAACCAGCUCUCACUUGUAGAAGCAACAGGUUUUAUAGUAAAAUUUACGUUUUCAAUUUUUGUUCAAUAAUAUCUUUCAACUUUAAUAGUUUUAAUAACUUUGAAAUAAAUAACUUUAAUAAUAAUAUAAACUCACUUUGCUAAAAUUUAAUAACUGUCUAAUAUUUAAUAUUUUUCAACAAAUUUUACCUUUCACCGCUCACAUCAUUCAUUUAAAAUAAUCUGAAGAUUAUAAAUCAUCGUGUAAAGGUGUUGUAUACAAUAUCUAGGUGUUUAUUCCCUUAUUUCAUAACCUUUAUUUCAGUUAUUAGAUAUUGUACUCAGGUUUAUCACUUUAGGUCAGAUACGGAAUUGUCAGCCAAUAUUGUGAUCAAUAUCAAUAUAAUAUUUUUGUUUAGGUAAAUAACUUGUAAUUUCAAAUAACUGUCUUGGUAUAAUUAAUUAAAUUUUUGUGUUUUA